GCUGGCGGCAGGCUUAACACAUGCAAGUCGAGCGGGCGUAGCAAUACGUCAGCGGCAGACGGGUGAGUAACGCGUGGGAACGUACCUUUUGGUUCGGAACAACCCAGGGAAACUUGGGCUAAUACCGGAUAAGCCCUUACGGGGAAAGAUUUAUCGCCGAAAGAUCGGCCCGCGUCUGAUUAGCUAGUUGGUGAGGUAAUGGCUCACCAAGGCGACGAUCAGUAGCUGGUCUGAGAGGAUGAUCAGCCACAUUGGGACUGAGACACGGCCCAAACUCCUACGGGAGGCAGCAGUGGGGAAUAUUGGACAAUGGGCGCAAGCCUGAUCCAGCCAUGCCGCGUGAGUGAUGAAGGCCCUAGGGUUGUAAAGCUCUUUUGUGCGGGAAGAUAAUGACGGUACCGCAAGAAUAAGCCCCGGCUAACUUCGUGCCAGCAGCCGCGGUAAUACGAAGGGGGCUAGCGUUGCUCGGAAUCACUGGGCGUAAAGGGUGCGUAGGCGGGUCUUUAAGUCAGGGGUGAAAUCCUGGAGCUCAACUCCAGAACUGCCUUUGAUACUGAAGAUCUUGAGUUCGGGAGAGG
rnacentral:rRNA from 1 species